ACCGCGGCGGUGGCAGUGGCGGCGGCGGCAGCAGCGGGAGCAGUUUGGAGGCCGGCGUCGAGGAUUUGCUGCUGUCUCUGCUGCUCUAUCCUUCCCACAGAGGCCCUCUCCCCUCUCCUAUCUCAAGAUGGCAGCCAGCAGCUCUGAGGUCUCUGAGAUGAAGGGGGUAGAGGAGGGUCCCCAGACCCAGGGAGAAGGGCCUGGCCAUUCUGAAGCCGGAACUGGUCCUCCCCAGAUCCCAGCUGGGGUCCCAGAUGAGCCAGAGACCCUGCAGCCAGGCCUAGACAUCACUGGGGCCCCUGUGGACCCAGAGCCCAAGGCUGGGCUGGCUCCAGAAACCACAGAGAUCCCAACCGUGGCCCCAGAAACAGCUCAGGCCGGAGACCUCAGCUCAAACCCAGGAGGGGAAUCAAAGGCCAACUCCAGCACCGAAGAAACAUGCCAAGAGCUAGCAUCCAAACCAGAAGUGAGCAAAGAGGCCACUGCAAACCAGGGGUCCAACCUGGAAUCCGCAGCCCCACUUGAGCCAGCCUCAGAGCCUGCUCCCCAGCUGGACCCCCAGCCGGACCCCCAGCCAGACCCUCAGCCAGACCCCCAGCCAGCUUCCCAGCCCACCUCCAAGCCAGUCCUUCAGCCGGAGCCCCCUACCCAGGAGGACCCCACCUCUGAGGUCCUGACUGAGAACGUGGGAGAAAAGCAGGAGAAUGGGGCAGUGGUUCCCCUGCAGGCUGGUGAUGGUGAUGGGGAAGAGGGUCCAGCCCUCCAGCCUCACUCACCACCCUCAACAAAAACCCCCCCAGCCAAUGGGGCUCCACCCCGUGUGCUGCAGCAGCUGGUUGAGGAGGAUAGACUAGGAAGGGCUCACAGUGGGCAUUCAGGAUCUCCCCGAGGUAGCCUGAGCCGCCACCCUAGUUCCCAGCUGGCAGGGUCUGGGGUGGAGGGGGGUGAAGGCACCCAGAAACCUCGGGACUACAUCAUCCUCGCCAUCCUGUCCUGCUUCUGCCCCAUGUGGCCUGUCAACAUCGUGGCCUUCGCUUAUGCCGUCAUGGUGAGCCCCAAGGGACCCUGGCCCAGGCCUGCUGUGGCUCCCAGCUUCCUGCCAGUGCUGGGACAGAGCCCCAGGAGUAACCUUGCCUUCCCUCCCCUUUCUGCAUGGACCUCACUUCCCAAUUACAGGGCCUUUCCUUGCCUCUUCCUAGGAUUUCACCUUCUGAGCCCUACCUCUUCAGGUGGGAGGGAAGUUGAGACAUUUCACACAGCCUUACUGACCUGUGCCCUCCUCCUGCUGCCUCUCCAAUCCCCUUCCUCCCUUAACCACUGCUACCAACUGGCCUGUCUCCUUUGGACGACUCUCACACCUGAUCCCGGCUGGGCUGGUGCCCCCACCCCUCACCCUAACCCCAGUCCCGGAACAGCCUGCAGCAGGGGGACGUGGAUGGGGCCCAGCGUCUGGGUCGCGUGGCCAAGCUCUUAAGCAUCGUGGCGCUGGUAGGGGGGGUCCUCAUCAUCAUCGCCUCCUGCGUCAUCAACUUAGGCGUGUAUAAGUGAGGGGCUCUGCCCUGCAUUCCGAGACUUUUUUUCCUGUUGGGAGCUGCCUUGGGCCCAUCCUCCCCUGCGGGGAGCCCAAUCCAUGGCCCAGGCCCGCACCCAUAGGGACCAAGGGAGCCUGAGCGGCCUUGUUUACAGCUUCUUUCCUGCUCCUGCAUCCUGCCAGGCUCCUCUGCCAACCGUAGGCCUCCCUUCUCCCUGCACUGUUUCCAACUUCCCUGCACUCCUGCCUGCAUCCCCUCCAGCCUCUUGGCUUCCCUAUCCCUGCACUUCUGGAAACCUUGCACUUCUGGAAACCUCCCUGAACAUCUCCCAAACUCUCUUUGCUCUCAGCCUCCCAGCAUCUCUCCCCACCUUCCUGCACCACAACCUCCCGAGAAUUUCCUGCACCUCAACCCUGGUCUCCCUUUCCCAACUUUCAUUGUCUCAGCAUCCUCCCUCAUUCCUUUCUUCCUUCUCUCCUUAUUCAUCUCCCUUUCCCUCUCCACAUCCUCCACCCCCUUCCUCUUCCUGCCUCCUCAUCGCCCCUCAGCAUCCUCCCCUCCACCCUCCUCCACCGUUCAUUCUGCAAAAACUCCAGCACUUAGAUCAGGCUGGGGGAGGGGAGCAGUGUCAGGAGAGGGCUCCCUAGCCCGGGCUCCGACUGUUCUCAGCUAGGACCACCCAGGUCCGGACGCCCCCAUGGUGCCUCGGGGUCGCAGCGCUGGCAAGACAGGCCUCGUUUGGAGACUUGUGCAGGGGUGGCCAGUACUGUUCCGAACACGCACCUGGGAGAAGGGAGGGGCGCUGCUGUUGACCCUCCCCGGUCAGCCUGAGUUGACCUUCCCCACCUGGGCUUUUUAACCCAGUCAGAGAACUCGUUGGGGCUGGGGUCAUUCACGUGCUUUGUAACGAAAGAACCCAAAAAAUAGGACCAAAGCUCCCAGCUGCAGGGAGCAAGGGAGGGGCGGAGAGGUCUAUGAUUAUUUUUUAAGAGGACGAGAGAGGUUUGGGGAGCGGGGACAGAACCACAACGCGGUUCCGAGUUGGCGGGGUCUUUUUUCCCCCUAAAAAAAGAAGAGUGUAGGGAAAAAACCUAAAAGUCUAAAAGCAAAACAAAACAAAAGGAUACGCCAAACAGAUUCUCCCUUUUUGUAUGCCGGAUGCUGCAUGAGUCUGAAACACCAAUAAACGGAGACUGCAUGAGACUCGCCUCCAGCCUCAGUUGGUCCGUACGUGCGUGCGCCGCUGGGGCCCGAGGUACUGCCUCCUUUCGGGCAGAACCUAUUGGGUGGUUUGCGCAUGCGCCGCCCAGGUGGCCAUCUUUACUAUGGGCCGAAGCCUAUCAUUCCGGAGCGCCUAUCUGCGCAUGUGCAAGCCUUCCCUUGCUUUCCUCUUCCAAGUAGCUUUGACUGAA